rnacentral:tRNA from 1 species
GCGAGAGUAGUUCAGUGGCAGAACACCAGCUUCCCAAGCUGGAUAUGGGGGUUCGAUUCCCCUCUCUCGCUCCA